UAGCCCUGGAGAGGGCCUAUCUGCUGGGGAACAUACAGUACCUGAAACUGGAGCAGUGCUGCGGAAAGGGCUGGGGAGCUCCAGCCUGGUAAACCCCUAGGCUUCAGGCCUUGGUGAAGGCCUACACAGAGAGAGAGGCUUUAGAAGAAAGCACCCCCUUGCUGAACAGUCACUGAUGGUAAUAACUGGCCUUUGCAGGGGGAGGGAGAAGACGUAAGCUGAGCCCUACAAAUAACCUCUCAUGGGGCAAAACUCAGGCUGCUUCCAUCCCAAGAUGCACCUUGGCGUCAGAUCCUCCAGAGCUGAGAAAUGAUGCUCUAGUUCCUUACACAUGGGAAGUACAUUAAUUCAAGAGUAGGACUUUCCAAAGCAGCCACCAUUAAUCUGACUGUCCUGCCAUUGAAGACAACCUGCUGGAAGCAGAGAAAGGCCAACACUGGGCACUUUGCAAAAUUCUACGAAGCAAGAGAGCUGCCCUUUGUCAGUCCAACUAAAUGACCUUUGAUUGCCAAGCAUUUCACUAGCUGUGGAUUGUGUUAGAUGUAACGUGUUUUAUUAUUAUUGUUGUUGUUGUUGUUUCCUAUGCUGCAAUUCCCUAUUUUUUCUGCCAAGAUGUUUUCUUUCAUAACAUUCCCACAAACCGUUAGUAAGUAUUUUAAGCUCAAAGUUUCAAUAACUGUAUAACUUUUUUUUAAGUUCAUCCUUCCGUUUUGCAAAAUGUAUUGUAGUUUUGUACGCACACAGAAAAAGGGGGGUAAGGAGAGGCCAUCGAUGGUGUCUAUCAUUUAAA